UUUAAAGACAAACAUGACACAGAAAAGAAGUCUCUGAUCAUAAAUGCUAAAUGCAGCAAACGUAACCCUAGCACAAUAUGACAAGUGUACACAGGGUGUACUGUAUAUGGAAACAGGGUGUAUACUGUAUACAAGCCUUUAUAUUAUGAACCGAAGUGCACAUUUUGGUUUAAAUGGUUUUACAAAAGCUUAAGAACAAACACUGGGCCCCUCUCUUUAAAGAAGGGGUGUGCUUUAGGAAGUCAUGCAUGCAUUCAAACCAAAUGUAUUCUUAUAGCCUUCACAUGGAGCACAGAAGUAUAAAUACACUUACCUACAGGUUACCUUUACUUGACUUGUAAAGGAAUAGUUGAUGUGACCCGAAGAUCUCACAUUGGUAUCAGGCAAAAUGAGAACCACAGCUUUAAGACCCUCCACGAAAUUCCAUCUGCUCCUAGGGGUAGUUUUUGCAAGCUUUCUCCUGUGUGCUGCAGCAUCUGAUUCAUCAACUGGCCUCCUGCAAGGACAGGGUGAGACCACCGAAACAGUGAGUCCCAGGCCAGUCUGUUCAUCUCCCAUCUCCCCAGAAGAGGAAUAUUCAGCUGAUGGAGGGCUCCUCCUUCAAGCUGAAGAAGCAUCAGGCUUUGGCCUGAUGGAGGAGGUGGUCCCUCCGAACACGAAAACUGUGAAAACCAAGGGUCAGUGACAUCACAUCGUCACCCACCCCUGCUAUCCCUGUCAGAGCAAGUGACCUUCUGCUGGAUAAACUGUCUUACAUCAUCAACGAAACUAAUUUGGCGCAUUUCGUGUUUUGGUCAGUUUCUUUCACUGUAUUCAAAGCCUUAUGUUUUGCAACACACAAUGAGCUAUUCUAAAAAUGUGUUUUGUUCUAUCAAAAUGUUUCCUGUUCUUCUUAAAAAAACCUUAUUGUUCUUGGAAUGGAAUGUAAUGGAAAGGUGAACUAUUAAAUUAACAGCAAUAAAUACUUUGUUGUUUAGUUCUUCUUUUCCAUUUGAAAAGCAUUAACAUAAACUCAUUUUCAAGAAUACCAAAAGCUACUUUUAAUUCAUGUGACAGGGAUGUGAUGUUCAAGGUCAUUUAACAUGAAGUGCUCUUCAUAUCCUUUCAGCUUUUAAACUGAGGUCCUGACUGCUUGGUCAUUACAGGCCUCUUGGCUCUGUUCAUAAGACGGGUGUUAACCCUGCUGUCCUGCUGCAGUUCACUCUAGGCCUGGACAGUCUGGCCUAUCUAAAAGUUCCUCCUGCAUCAGUUUAAUUGUUGAAGCAAUGUCCUGCUCAUCCACCUGAUCUCCUGUGCAGUCAGGAUGCAGGUGCAGAUUGUCUACUGCAUGUCACCUCUGUGGCCACUGCACCUCAGCUG
rnacentral:lncRNA from 1 species